GAGCAAGCGGACCUCAUAAAGUAUGUCGUAGUCCGGAUUGGAGUCUGCAACUCGACUCCAUGAAGUCGGAAUCGCUAGUAAUCGUGGAUCAGAAUGCCACGGUGAAUACGUUCCCGGGCCUUGUACACACCGCCCGUCACACCAUGGGAGUGGGUUGCAAAAGAAGUAGGUAGCUUAACCUUCGGGAGGGCGCUUACCACUUUGUGAUUCAUGACUGGGGUGAAGUCGUAACAAGGUAACCGUAGGGGAACCUGCGGUUGGAUCACCUCCUUACCUUAAAGAA
rnacentral:rRNA from 1 species